UCGAGAAUCUUUCACAAUGGGGGCAACCCUGAUGGAGCGACGCCGCGUGGAGGAUUAAGGUCUUCGGAUUGUAAACUCCUGUCAUGCGAGAGCAAAGCCCGCAAGGGUCUGAUAGUAUCGCAAGAGGAAGAGACGGCUAACUCUGUGCCAGCAGCCGCGGUAAUACAGAGGUCUCAAGCGUUGUUCGGAAUCACUGGGCGUAAAGGGUGCGUAGGUGGCGUGGAAAGUCAGAUGUGAAAUCCGGGGGCUCAACCCCCGAAUUGCAUCCGAUACUACCGUGCUAGAGAACUGAAGGGGGAUCUGGAAUUCUCGGUGUAGCAGUGAAAUGCGUAGAUAUCGAGAGGAACACUAGUGGCGAAGGCGAGAUCCUGGGCAGUAUCUGACACUGAGGCACGAAGGCCAGGGGAGCGAACG
rnacentral:rRNA from 1 species